UGGAACAUCGGCCCAUUUUGAGUGAGAACGUUCUGAGCGUGGAAUAUUCUGCACAUCCCUGGGCUUUACUAUAAGAGAAAAGAGAGAUCAGGUAAGGUUCCUUGAGGGGGAAGCUGAUCUAGGAGAAUGGAGAAAGGUGCCAGACAUUGGCUAGGAUCUCAGACUGAGGAAGAAGGAGACAAGGUGUUUCACAUCAUUGGGCACCUCAAGUUCACUUGAAGGACAUGAAGAAAAAAUAUCUCUGCAAUAUCAAGCAAGAGGAAAUGAAAUUAAACAAGAAAUAUACUUUUCUAAAAACCAUGAAAAGAGGUGAAACGGUUUGCCCUCAAACCAGAAGGAAACCACAAGUGGUGAUGACGGAUCAAAGGAAGACUAUAUCACACUACUUACUUUCAUUGUCUGAACUGUCACUACUGCUUAGAUGCCUGUGGCGUUUCAUCCUGACGCAUCCUAGAAAGUGGAAAGGGAAACAAAAUGAAUUGAGAGAACUGACAGCGCCACGGCGGGGUAGUGGCAGAGGAGCAGGAUAGCAUGACAAAUUUUGACAGUUACGGCUGGGGCAUUUUGGCAAGCCAGAAGCAAAUCAGUUUCAGCAGGUUAAAGCAAAAGUGAGUCAUGCAGAUACAGACAAAUUACAACAUACAUUCAAGACUUUUCCAAGUGUUCUUUGGUACUGAUGAUAUACCUCUUCCACAGAAGACAGAUACACUUACACAGCAAGGCUAUGUGGGCAGGAUUGCGACAAAGCAGACAUAACAUACUUUGGGAUGCCAGCUUCACCCACAUAUGUAUUACAUAAUGAAAUAUAAACUGAUUUUCUGCUG